CUGUCUUUUUCUCCAAGUCUAUGAUGCAGGGGUAUUUUAGUCUUUUUAACGUAGAGGAAACCCUAUUAUUUUACUAUUUAAAGACUGUCACAGAGUCAGAUGCGUCAGAGAAUUCUGCAGUCACCAAUCACCAUCAGAAACACCUUUCAUUUUCUCUUUCUUCCCUUUUUCAAAUCAUAUACACAAAAUUCACAAAGUUCAUCAUGAACAUCGUAUGAACAUGAUGAACACAGAUUUUUCCAGUAACUAAUUCCAGACUCAAAAUCAUCAAACAACAACAUUAUUUUCGUGAAUCCUACACCACCAAUUCAUUUUCUUUCGAAAUCCAUCAAACACAAAUUUGGUUCACCACAGAUCCAAAAUCGGUUCAUCUCAACACAUGUCUGAACUUCAAUAUAUCACCACAGUUAUGAAACCAAGCUUAAACAUGUACUGAAGCUGUUUCGUUCUCAACAAACUGGCAUACAACUGAAAGCAAGAUCGAAAUCCAGAGAAAGAAGGAAGAAUGUCCAUAUCGGAGCUUAUCCGAACCAGAUCGAGCUCUCUUUGUUUUGAAGUUUUCCGUUUGUGCUAGCUUUCUCCGAAUAUAAGCAAAGGUAACGGCCAUUUCCUUUCAGUUUCGUUCUUUGUGUUUCAAAAAUUUUCGAAUCUCAAAUGUUAGAUCUAGGACGAAUCGUUGUUUAUUUUUGAAAACUAAGUGCGGAAUAAGGAUGAAAAUGGAUGUCUGAAGAAGUAGAAAAUUUUUGAAACGGAGAGGUUUGGGUGGUUGCGGCGGCAGCGCCGCCACCUUGUGGUGGUCGGCCACUGCGCCAGCGUGUUAGUGGUUCGUCGAAGAAGAGAGAGUUACUUGCGGACUCUCUCUCUCUCUAAGUGAGGAUGUAGAGAGAAGGAGAAUAUUAUAUUGUGUUGUUUUUUGAGUGAAUCAUCAACUUCGUCCCUGAAUUUUCACGGGUCGGCCAACUUCGUCCCUUAAUUAUGCGAAAUAUCAAUUUAAUCCCUGAAUUUGUUAAAUGUCAAUCAAGUUAGUCCUUCAGUUCAAAUGGAGCGUUGAUGGGGCUGACGUGGCCGUUAACCUCUCAGUUCAAACGGAGCGUUGACGGGACUGACGUGGCCGUUAACCUCUCACAUAUCAGACGCCACGUAGGCAGGGACUAAUUUGGCCGAUAAUGACCUAAUUUUCAAGGACUAAGUUGAUUGAAUUUCAGGAAAUUGCUCUUCUUCCCCAAUGGCUCUCUUCCUUCUCCAAAGGCUAUUUCAUCCCCAAAUAUAUAAAAUUGGAACCCUAAUUUUACAAUGUGUAAUCUACACUCCAAAAUCUCAAAAUUUUCUUCCAAUAAUUAAGGGUCACGUUCUUCCCCAAAUCAAAAAAUUGCAAACCCUAAUUUUUUUAAUUGAAUCUGAAAACCAAAAUCUGCAAAAUUCAUUCAAGCAAAACUAUUGAAAUUGAAUCUAAAAUGAUGGGGGUGGUCAUAUGGGCAAAAAGAGCUAUCAAAGUCAAGCUUCAUCUUCAUCCUCCAUGUUUAAUGUUGAUGUGAGAGUGCUUGAAUGUUGUGUGGGUUGAUGAAGCCGAAG
rnacentral:lncRNA from 1 species